UACGGGGGGGCAAGCGUUGUUCGGAAUUACUGGGCGUAAAGGGCUCGUAGGCGGCCAACUAAGUCAGACGUGAAAUCCCCAGGCUCAACCUGGGAACUGCGUCUGAUACUGGAUGGCUUGAAUCCGGGAGAGGGAUGCAGAAUUCCAGGUGUAGCGGUGAAAUGCGUAGAUAUCAGGAGGAACACCGAUGGCGAAGGCAGAUCUCUGGCCGUAACUGACGCUGAGGAGCGAAAGCGUGGGGAGCGAACAGG
rnacentral:rRNA from 1 species